rnacentral:rRNA from 1 species
AGAGUUUGAUCCUGGCUCAGGAUGAACGCUGGCGGCGUGCCUAAUACAUGCAAGUCGAGCGAACGGACGAGAAGCUUGCUUCUCUGAUGUUAGCGGCGGACGGGUGAGUAACACGUGGAUAACCUACCUAUAAGACUGGGAUAACUUCGGGAAACCGGAGCUAAUACCGGAUAAUAUUUUGAACCGCAUGGUUCAAAAGUGAAAGACGGUCUUGCUGUCACUUAUAGAUGGAUCCGCGCUGCAUUAGCUAGUUGGUAAGGUAACGGCUUACCAAGGCAACGAUGCAUAGCCGACCUGAGAGGGUGAUCGGCCACACUGGAACUGAGACACGGUCCAGACUCCUACGGGAGGCAGCAGUAGGGAAUCUUCCGCAAUGGGCGAAAGCCUGACGGAGCAACGCCGCGUGAGUGAUGAAGGUCUUCGGAUCGUAAAACUCUGUUAUUAGGGAAGAACAUAUGUGUAAGUAACUGUGCACAUCUUGACGGUACCUAAUCAGAAAGCCACGGCUAACUACGUGCCAGCAGCCGCGGUAAUACGUAGGUGGCAAGCGUUAUCCGGAAUUAUUGGGCGUAAAGCGCGCGUAGGCGGUUUUUUAAGUCUGAUGUGAAAGCCCACGGCUCAACCGUGGAGGGUCAUUGGAAACUGGAAAACUUGAGUGCAGAAGAGGAAAGUGGAAUUCCAUGUGUAGCGGUGAAAUGCGCAGAGAUAUGGAGGAACACCAGUGGCGAAGGCGACUUUCUGGUCUGUAACUGACGCUGAUGUGCGAAAGCGUGGGGAUCAAACAGGAUUAGAUACCCUGGUAGUCCACGCCGUAAACGAUGAGUGCUAAGUGUUAGGGGGUUUCCGCCCCUUAGUGCUGCAGCUAACGCAUUAAGCACUCCGCCUGGGGAGUACGACCGCAAGGUUGAAACUCAAAGGAAUUGACGGGGACCCGCACAAGCGGUGGAGCAUGUGGUUUAAUUCGAAGCAACGCGAAGAACCUUACCAAAUCUUGACAUUCUUUGACAACUCUAGAGAUAGAGCCUUCCCCUUCGGGGGACAAAGUGACAGGUGGUGCAUGGUUGUCGUCAGCUCGUGUCGUGAGAUGUUGGGUUAAGUCCCGCAACGAGCGCAACCCUUAAGCUUAGUUGCCAUCAUUAAGUUGGGCACUCUAAGUUGACUGCCGGUGACAAACCGGAGGAAGGUGGGGAUGACGUCAAAUCAUCAUGCCCCUUAUGAUUUGGGCUACACACGUGCUACAAUGGACAAUACAAAGGGCAGCGAAACCGCGAGGUCAAGCAAAUCCCAUAAAGUUGUUCUCAGUUCGGAUUGUAGUCUGCAACUCGACUACAUGAAGCUGGAAUCGCUAGUAAUCGUAGAUCAGCAUGCUACGGUGAAUACGUUCCCGGGUCUUGUACACACCGCCCGUCACACCACGAGAGUUUGUAACACCCGAAGCCGGUGGAGUAACCUUUUAGGAGCUAGCCGUCGAAGGUGGGACAAAUGAUUGGGGUGAAGUCGUAACAAGGUAGCCGUAUCGGAAGGUGCGGCUGGAUCACCU